rnacentral:rRNA from 1 species
GGAAUCUUCGGCAAUGGACGAAAGUCUGACCGAGCAACGCCGCGUGAGUGAAGAAGGUUUUCGGAUCGUAAAACUCUGUUGGUAGAGAAGAACGUUGGUGAGAGUGGAAAGCUCAUCAAGUGACGGUAACUACCCAGAAAGGGACGGCUAACUACGUGCCAGCAGCCGCGGUAAUACGUAGGUCCCGAGCGUUGUCCGGAUUUAUUGGGCGUAAAGCGAGCGCAGGUGGUUUAUUAAGUCUGGUGUAAAAGGCAGUGGCUCAACCAUUGUAUGCAUUGGAAACUGGUAGACUUGAGUGCAGGAGAGGAGAGUGGAAUUCCAUGUGUAGCGGUGAAAUGCGUAGAUAUAUGGAGGAACACCGGUGGCGAAAGCGGCUCUCUGGCCUGUAACUGACACUGAGGCUCGAAAGCGUGGGGAGCAAACAGGAUUAGAUAG